rnacentral:rRNA from 1 species
AGAGUUUGAUCCUGGCUCAGGACGAACGCUGGCGGCGCGCCUAACACAUGCAAGUCGAACGAGCGAGAGAGAGCUUGCUUUCUCGAGCGAGUGGCGAACGGGUGAGUAACGCGUGAGGAACCUGCCUCAAAGAGGGGGACAACAGUUGGAAACGACUGCUAAUACCGCAUAAGCCCACGGGUCGGCAUCGACCAGAGGGAAAAGGAGCAAUCCGCUUUGAGAUGGCCUCGCGUCCGAUUAGCUAGUUGGUGAGGUAACGGCCCACCAAGGCGACGAUCGGUAGCCGGACUGAGAGGUUGAACGGCCACAUUGGGACUGAGACACGGCCCAGACUCCUACGGGAGGCAGCAGUGGGGAAUAUUGCACAAUGGGGGAAACCCUGAUGCAGCGACGCCGCGUGGAGGAAGAAGGUCUUCGGAUUGUAAACUCCUGUUGUUGGGGAAGAUAAUGACGGUACCCAACAAGGAAGUGACGGCUAACUACGUGCCAGCAGCCGCGGUAAAACGUAGGUCACAAGCGUUGUCCGGAAUUACUGGGUGUAAAGGGAGCGCAGGCGGGAAGACAAGUUGGAAGUGAAAUCUAUGGGCUCAACCCAUAAACUGCUUUCAAAACUGUUUUUCUUGAGUAGUGCAGAGGUAGGCGGAAUUCCCGGUGUAGCGGUGGAAUGCGUAGAUAUCGGGAGGAACACCAGUGGCGAAGGCGGCCUACUGGGCACCAACUGACGCUGAGGCUCGAAAGUGUGGGUAGCAAACAGGAUUAGAUACCCUGGUAGUCCACACCGUAAACGAUGAUUACUAGGUGUUGGAGGAUUGACCCCUUCAGUGCCGCAGUUAACACAAUAAGUAAUCCACCUGGGGAGUACGACCGCAAGGUUGAAACUCAAAGGAAUUGACGGGGGCCCGCACAAGCAGUGGAGUAUGUGGUUUAAUUCGACGCAACGCGAAGAACCUUACCAAGUCUUGACAU